rnacentral:rRNA from 1 species
ACGCACGCUGGCGGCAUGCCUAACCCAUGCAAGUCGAACGAGACCUUCGGGUCUAGUGGCGCACGGGUGCGUAACGCGUGGGAAUCUGCCCUUGGGUUCGGAAUAACAGUUGGAAACGACUGCUAAUACCGGAUGAUGACGUAAGUCCAAAGAUUUAUCGCCCAAGGAUGAGCCCGCGUAGGAUUAGCUAGUUGGUGAGGUAAAGGCUCACCAAGGCGACGAUCCUUAGCUGGUCUGAGAGGAUGAUCAGCCACACUGGGACUGAGACACGGCCCAGACUCCUACGGGAGGCAGCAGUGGGGAAUAUUGGACAAUGGGCGAAAGCCUGAUCCAGCAAUGCCGCGUGAGUGAUGAAGGCCUUAGGGUUGUAAAGCUCUUUUACCCGGGAUGAUAAUGACAGUACCGGGAGAAUAAGCUCCGGCUAACUCCGUG